CCUACGGGAGGCAGCAGUGAGGAAUAUUGGUCAAUGGGCGAGAGCCUGAACCAGCCAAGUAGCGUGAAGGAUGACUGCCCUACGGGUUGUAAACUUCUUUUAUAAGGGAAUAAAAUGAGGCACGUGUACCUUUUUGUAUGUACUUUAUGAAUAAGGAUCGGCUAACUCCGUGCCAGCAGCCGCGGUAAUACGGAGGAUCCGAGCGUUAUCCGGAUUUAUUGGGUUUAAAGGGAGCGUAGGUGGGUUGUUAAGUCAGUUGUGAAAGUUUGCGGCUCAACCGUAAAAUUGCAGUUGAUACUGGCAGCCUUGAGUACAGUUGAGGUAGGCGGAAUUCGUGGUGUAGCGGUGAAAUGCUUAGAUAUCACGAAGAACUCCGAUUGCGAAGGCAGCCUACUAAACUGUCACUGACACUGAUGCUCGAAAGUGUGGGUAUCAAACAGGAUUAGAUACCCGAGUAGUC
rnacentral:rRNA from 1 species